rnacentral:lncRNA from 1 species
UUCCUCUUAGGUAGGGAGGUAUUAUUUUCUCAGCUUGAAAUGGGAAGCAGUCUCAGAGAGAUCUGUGAUAUUGAACAACUAUCAGAAAAAUGCUUUUCAUGGAUACUGCUGUAGAACCAAGUCUGGCAGAUCAGCACUUACGGUAGUGGGCAGUAUGGACUCAUAAUAGGAAAUAAAAAAUAAUUCAAACAGAAUUGAGAAGCAAAAUAAUGGAUUUAUUUCUGUUAUACUGGUGGGGGAACUAGACAGAGACUUUUAAGAGAUGAAGGCACUUGGGCAUUUCUUUUGGGUGGUGCAUUUUAUCUCCUAACUGAAACUUCAAAAAUAGCCCCCAAAACCUAGACUUAUUCUGCUUAACUUUAAAUGCUGAACUGUGAUAACUAAGCCAGUUGCCAACUCACUCCAGAUUCUUUUGAGAGUUAAUGAAGACAGCUGGCCUGAGAUGAGGCUGCAUCUUGUUUCAGAGACACUGCCUUGUUUCAGAGAGUAGAGGAGACUAAGUCAUCCUGAGAACACAGAGUCAAAAGGGAAGGUGAUACAUGUAAUUAGAUACUAUUACAGUACUGGGGACCAGGAACAGCCAUCCCUGCCUUUGUCACUGCAGGCUAUUGAUACAUACUACGAAAAACUACAUAAGACAACCCAGCUGGAAAUCAGAGCUGAAGAAUAA